rnacentral:rRNA from 1 species
GUAGGUGGCAAGCGUUGUCCCGGGAAUUAUUGGGGCGUAAAAGCGCGCGCAGGGCGGUCCUUUAAGUCUGAUGUGAAAGCCCACGGCUCAACCGUGGAGGGUCAUUGGAAACUGGGGGACUUGAGUACAGAAGAGGAAAGCGGAAUUCCAAGUGUAGCGGUGAAAUGCGUAGAGAUUUGGAGGAACACCAGUGGCGAAGGCGGCUUUCUGGUCUGUAACUGACGCUGAGGCGCGAAAGCGUGGGGAGCAAACAGGAUUAGAUACCCUGGUAGUCCACGCCGUAAACGAUGAGUGCUAAGUGUUAGGGGGUUUCCGCCCCUUAGUGCUGCAGCUAACGCAUUAAGCACUCCGCCUGGGGAGUACGGCCGCAAGGCUG